UGGGGAAUAUUGCACAAUGGGGGAAACCCUGAUGCAGCCAUGCCGCGUGUGUGAAGAAGGCCUUCGGGUUGUAAAGCACUUUCAGCGAGGAGGAAAGGUUGGCGCCUAAUACGUGUCAACUGUGACGUUACUCGCAGAAGAAGCACCGGCUAACUCGGUGC
rnacentral:rRNA from 1 species